UUCCCUUCUCCUUUAGGUGGUCUUGAGCAACUCGGAAAGAUUGCUGAUGAAGACAGCUGUCUCUGUAUAAGGAGGCCUUGGCUGUGGCCCUGGCGAAAUGAUGGUCGGCCCAGUCAUUCAACAGAUGCCUGUGGAACACCUGCUACGCUCCAGAAUAUGGGCCUGAAUGAGACAGGCAACAUGGACCCCACAGUCUAGUCUGAGACGCAACAAACAACAGGUGUCUUGGCCUUCAUUAGCUGCAUCAAGUGUCUGUCCUCCCCAUGGCCUGGGAGCCCAGCUCUCUUGGAGGGCGAGGGGACUGAUGGCUUCCUCCCGGCCUGGGCUGAGCCCCCGCCCUGCCUAUCCCGCACUGUGCUGCCGACCCACUCACUGGCCAGACGGAAGGCUCUGACGAGGGAAAAAAAGACAACUUCUCAAAGUGCGUCAGGUACAAGUCCCAGACCCCGCGUGGUCUUUUCUGACAAAGGCUGGCAGAUAAGAAAUAAAGCUGCCGGUGAUUUGUUGGUCUGACUUUACCUAUUUGAAAAAGGCAUUCCAUGCUUCGAAUGACACUCUCGAGCAUUUCCGAUCCUGUCUACGGAUCCCAGAAAAUUCACAAGGUUGCGAACAUUAUUGCCUGCGGUACCUGGAGACGUGGUGUAUUGGUGGUGGGGCAAACAGAGAAAGAAAAUGAAUGGUUUGCAUGGACACAUAUGAAGAUGUUGAUGCUCAGAUUGGUAAAUUCUUACAAAUGCCACUGCUAGAAUAUUCGCCUUAAUCCAGAGCGAUUUCUUUGUAUGAAAAGUAAUUCCUAAUAGAGAUUCCAUCACCCUCAGGAAAUUUUCCAUUCAAGUAUGUCUUCCGUACCUUAGACGGGAGGACGUUUCUUUGUCAGUUAGGACUGCUGGUGUAUGGGUUCCCCUGUUAGAGAGGUAAAACUUACUGCUUACUCCUUUUGUAUGAGGGGAAAACAAACGAGGGAUUCUCUUUCCGCCGGUUUGUUUCCUUGAGCUUGUAAUUUUAAAACAUCUUCUUUCAGGCUCCCUUAUAUAUUGACUACCACAGCACAGAAGUCAGGCAAAGGGGACUUUGUCACCUGACAAGUCUGCCUCCCGCUGAGAAAUCAGGCAGGGAUGGCUGGGUAAAAGUCCCGGGCUCGAACGCAGUUGCGUGAUUUCUUAUGAUGAAUAGCUUGGACGGACGCUAAUCAAAAUUACUUUCUGGUUCUACCUUAUUCAGCAAGACUAAUGCAUGACAUGGCCCCAGAGGCUGCAGUUUGUUAAUUUGCAGAUGUCUUUGCUCACGUCUGUCUGACCAUGCUGGCGAUCCCCCUCCUCUCUGUGCCCUCAAGGUAGAGCGUGGGCCCCCUGUCAUGGUUUCCCCCUUCUUCUCACCCGCCCACUGGGUUCUGCGACCUGGGCACCCUCCGCCGGGUCCACUCAGGGAAGCAAGUCUGGAUCUUUCACAUGCUGAGGAUGUACAUUGCAGAAAGCAAAAGGGAUCCCGGUGAUUCGAAGACGGAGACACAGACGCUGUGCCUUAUACCAUUCUUACCUCUAGGACACACGACUUCCAGGAGGCUGGGGGACGUAUGUAAUCAAAUGGGCGGGAAGAAAUUAAAACUUGUUUGUUUGUUUUUUUUGCAGUUGGAUAUUUGGAUCACAAGACUGUCUCUCAAGAGAUUACAGCUGGAGAAACUACUAUGCACGUGGAUCGAAGGGUUUCAGGGAGUCCCCCGUAGGGCAACCAGAUCAGCUGACGUGACGUCACUGCAGCUUCAAGGCUCACUUAAUGUUAUCAGGGAAGAGUAAAGGCUAAUUUCAACUGUGUGAAAUGGUGAAUAUGUGAACAGAGAUUCACAAACCCGGAACACCACAGGCUGGCUUCUGGGCUGGCUGCCUUCGAUGUUUGUAGCUUUGAGGGAGCAACCGCUUAAAACCACCCCAAGGCCAAGUUCCUGCACAUCUAUUUGAAGGGACCGAGUUUCCUUGGUGUGAGUCACCACGCAGGGACCCCUUCUGGGAAGGACGUGUUGCCCUGGUGUGGGAAUGAUUCCACAGUACGGAUGCCAUUUCCCUUCUAGGUCUUAACCUUUCGUAGCGAGACAGACAACCAGGAAAGUAGGAAAUCGAAACAAGCUAUGUUUAGCCGAAUUUUACAUACCAUAAUCUCUUUACCAUGGUCAAGCAAGGCAGGAAUGCUCAAGCCGAUCAGUUCUGGCACAAAUCCAUUCCAGAGGGGAGUGAUUUACAACUCAGCUCCGCUCUUGACUCUUCCCUGAGAGUGAAGUUAAAUGACCCAAGAAUAACAUGACUCUGCACCAGCACUGGCGAGAAUGGUUUUCUAAAGGGUGGUCUCGGGAGUAGCUUUUCACCUGCAGAAACUCAAGCGCAGAGACCGCUCCAAAGUCCUGGGGCAAAGCCUCAAUUGUGCCUUAAAAGCCUGUGUCCCGAUGCAUCGCUUGAAAUGUUUUUGUGGCUGCGUGCCAGAGUGCCGCAGGAGAAAUAAAAGAGAACCCCACACAGGACUGAGCUGGAACUUUAUACAACUUUUCUAUAAAUUACAGCAAUAAAACGAAUACUGCUGAUAAUAGUAAUGAUGAUGAUAAUGAUAAUAAUAACAAAUGCCUUCGUCAGUUUUACUAAAAGCAUUUUGGACCUUGCAGAGGAGAAAAUGAGACUGGAUGUUGGAAGCUUUGGGGUUUAUAAGAACCUCCCAGCACGAAGGGAACACCGGUCUUAGAAUGAAAUCUCCGCCACGAUCACUGUUUUCGCUCUGCUGGCAAACCAGCCCCCACGCUGGUCAUCAAAUACAUCCUUUAAGUGAAUUUUCUGGCAAAUGAAGUGUUGCUCCCCAGAACUUAGCGAUGAGGGCUGCCCGGCCCGUAUUAAAUGGAGCCAGGCCCGGUUAGGGGUGGCAGUGAUUUCGGGGUCAAGUGUUUGAACAUCUGGUACCUCCUCAGAGCCGGCAUCAGCUCAGACACCUCUGUUUGGGCAGGAGCGGGAGGAAGCCCCUGGCUGCCAUUCUUUGCAUUGGUUUCCUGUCGCCUCUGCUUGUCAGGGAAGAAUGCCCGAGUGAGGGCACACAGCUGCACAACUCCUACCACCCUGUGGUAACUUCCUGCCAUGACAUACACUCCCCAGACGGGCCUCCAGUGUCAUUCCUGUGAGAAACGUCCCCUUGGGCGCCUGGGUGCCCCAUUUUACCCUGCAGCCCACGGGGCAUCAUUAGCAGACCUCCGGAGGUCAACAGUACCACGUAUUUGCACAUUUCGAAAGAUCUCAGACUCACCAACGCUGGCUCUGAGGGGUGGAGUCACGGCCACGAGACAGAACCAGAACGAGUUUCAGGAAGAGCCAACAGGGACAUCCCAAGUCCAAAGCUCUCUCAGGGGCUGGGGGUCCGGAAAGGAAAGUGGUGCCCACCAAAGCUGCCAGAAGCAUGCACUGCGUUUGCGUUUUCUCCCAGCAUGUACAUCUCACAAAUGUUCCUUUUCCACAGCAUGCCCCCACCCCCAAUUUUAUAUGUAGCAGAUGGCCUUCAAACAAAUCAAGGACAGAAGCUGCAAAAGCCUUAAAGGAAAAAAAAAAAGACAGUGAAACUCAUAUAUUUCUUCAAACGAUAAGAUGAACUACAGAUGUUUGCUGAAGGCUGAUGGUACUGCCUAUAACUUAAGACGCAACUUAAAAGAAGAUUCCACUUGUGUUUAGCGUUGGACAAGCCCGGUAGCUGUCAGGGUGUGAUUUAUGGAGGUUGUUUGUGAGAUUUGAUGUCACUGGGGACAUGGCAAUUAAAAUGCUCUGCCAUUGGGCCCCGCAAAGCAUCUUCCCGUGUGGACCCAGGCAUGGAGUCCAGGAUGGAAAUGUGGUGUCGCCCUGCAGAUGGGGGUGGGGGGUGGGUGGGGUGGGAGGGAGGGUGGAUGUAGGUAUCCCCCACGGACCCUCUCACUCCUGAGCCCCCUCCCUCCCCUUCCACCGGGUUCUUGGUCUUUUCGGACAAAGUCCCGUUCUUACCUGACACCUGCAGCCAGAUUCGUCUCAAAAUAAGCUUCACAACGGUGCUAAAAGAGAGGCAGUCAUCUGUGGCGGGACCCAGCUGCAUAUAGGAAACAGCUGCCUGCUGGGCUCGGUGUGUAAGAAAGGAAGAGAAGAAUCACGACGGAGUGUUUAAAAAUGAACAUAACGCGUAUACUGGAGAGGGCAACAGAGGCCUGUAAUUAACCCAGUGCUAAGCGUCUGUGUUUCUGUGAACAGCUUCUUUUCCAGGACUUGUUGUAACUUGGGUGUAAAUAUUUGUUACAGACUGAAACCGAAGGCACGAGGCGGUAGCUGGAUGCUGUCUCCCCUCGUGUCUCUCUGCUUUCUAAGCAGGGAUUCUUAAUAAUGCAGAGAGAGCGAGGUAUUUUGGACGCCCACGCCCACUGCCAAACGCAAGCGGCCGGGAGCAUCUGCAUGAAUGCAGACACCUACGCGCAUCACACAUGUGCCCGGGGCCCUUCCGCAGCUGCUUGGCGCUGGGUUCGGGGCAGAGGCCCGCGGAGUCCUGGGCAGAAGCAGCGGGAGGAGGCCCCGAGCCCGCCUGGAGCCUCUGCAACAGAAAUGUGGGGAGCCUUUGAAGUUACCAGCGCUCAGGUGGACGCCCCCCAGAGCAGGCCUCAGAGGAAGACAUUCAUUUUCACACAAAAGGGAAAAUUCCUCGGGACCCUGGUGUUUCCACUAAAACAAACCUCUAAAACGUUGUUCUCCGGAGGAUCAAGGACCAGCUGUUCUCCAUCUCCAUGAGGCUGUGAAGAGAGGAGAUGCAGCAGGAGAGAUGCGAGCUAGACAGAGGGGACGGGCGGCGAGGCGGGGAACAGCCCGUGGCACGGGGACCAGGAAGACAGCACGUGGUUUUCCAAACCGGUGUGGCUGCGUUCAGAGGAAGGAGGGUGCAGAGCGCAGCAUUUCAAGAUCGGUGCUGGGUUCACGGAGGAAAUAGCGACCCAUGGGGCGCCUGGGUGGCUCAGUGGGUUGGGCGUCCGACUCCAGCUCAGGUCGUGGUCUCACGGUCCGUGGGUUCGAGCCCCGCGUCGGGCCCUGGGCUGACAGCUCGGAGCCUGGAGCCUGCUUCGGAUUCUGUGUCUCCUUCCCUCUCUGUCCCUCCCCCACUUGUGCUCUGUCUCUGUCUCUCAAAAAUAAAUAAAUGUAAAAAAAAAAAAAAAGAAGAAG